CAAAGGCAUGGUCCCGACCUUAUAAUCAGCUCUAACUCAACUUACACAUGCAAGUCUCCGCAACCCAGUGAGUAAGCCCUUAAUCCCCCGCCAGGGGACGAGGAGCGGGCAUCAGGCACAAAAUAUUAGCCCAAGACGCCUAGCCUAGCCACACCCCCAAGGGAAUUCAGCAGUGAUAGACAUUAAGCCAUAAGUGAAAACUUGACUCAGUUAGUGUUAAAUGGGCCGGUAAAACUCGUGCCAGCCACCGCGGUUAGACGAUAGGCCCUAGUUGAUUUUACCUAACGGCGUAAAGGGUGGUUAAGGAUUAUAUGUUAAUAAAGCCAAAUGGCCCUUUGGCCGUCAUACGCUUCUAGGUGUCCGAAGCCCUACACGAAAGUAGCUUUAACAAAUUUACCUGACCCCACGAAAGCUGAGAAACAAACUGGGAUUAGAUACCCCACUAUGCUCAGCCGUAAACUUAGACAUUUACGUACAAUUAAAUGUCCGCCAGGGUACUACAAGCAUCUAGCUUAAAACCCAAAGGACCUGACGGUGUCUCAGACCCCCCUAGAGGAGCCUGUUCUAGAACCGAUAAUCCCCGUUAAACCUCACCACUCCUAGUCCCCCAGCCUAUAUACCGCCGUCGUCAGCUUACCCCGUGAGGGUAGUAGAAGUAAGCAAAAUGGGCACAACCCAGAACGUCAGGUCGAGGUGUAGCGUAUGAAGUGGAAAGAAAUGGGCUACAUUUUCUAUUACAGAACAUUAACGAACAUGCACCAUGAAAUUUAAUGCUUGAAGGAGGAUUUAGUAGUAAAAAGGAAAUAGAGUGUCCCUUUGAACCCGGCUCUGAGACGCGUACAUACCGCCCGUCACUCUCCCCUGUCAAAAUGCACCAAACAUACAUAAUUAACUAGCACUGACAAGGGGAGGCAAGUCGUAACACGGUAAGUGUACCGGAAGGUGCACUUGGAACAAACC
rnacentral:ncRNA from 1 species